UCGGAAUUACUGGGCGUAAAGCGUGCGUAGGCGGUUUAUUAAGUCAGAUGUGAAAGCCCCGGGCUUAACCUGGGAACUGCAUUUGAAACUGGUCAACUAGAGUAUGGUAGAGGAAAGUGGAAUUUCUGGUGUAGCGGUGAAAUGCGUAGAUAUCAGAAGGAACAUCAAUGGCGAAGGCAGCUUUCUGGACCAAUACUGACGCUGAGGUACGAAAGCGUGGGUAGCAAACAGGAUUAGAUACCCUGGUAGUCCACGCCGUAAACGAUGAUAACUAGCCGUUGGGGGGAUUUACCCUUUAGUGGCGAAGCUAACGCGUUAAGUUAUCCGCCUGGGGAGUACGGCCGCAAGGUUAAAACUCAAAGGAAUUGACGGGGACCCGCACAAGCGGUGGAGCAUGUGGUUUAAUUCGAUGCAACGCGAAGAACCUUACCUGGUCUUGACAUCCUGCGAACUUUCUAGAAAUAGAUUGGUGCCUUCGGGAACGCAGUGACAGGUGCUGCAUGGCUGUCGUCAGCUCGUGUCGUGAGAUGUUGGGUUAAGUCCCGUAACGAGCGCAACCCCUAUCCUUAUUUGCCAGCACGUCAUGGUGGGAACUAUAAGGAGACUGCCGGUGAUAAACCGGAGGAAGGCGGGGACGACGUCAAGUCAUCAUGGCCCUUACGACCAGGGCUACACACGUGCUACAAUGGGAAGGACAAAGAGCCGCGAAGCCGCGAGGUGUAGCUAAUCUCAGAAACCUUUUCGUAGUCCGGAUUGGAGUCUGCAACUCGACUCCAUGAAGUCGGAAUCGCUAGUAAUCGUAGAUCAGAAUGCUACGGUGAAUACGUUCCCGGGUCUUGUACACACCGCCCGUCAUACCAUGGGAGUGGGUUGCACCAGAAGUGGCUAGUCUAA
rnacentral:rRNA from 1 species